AAUGUCAACAAUAAUACUUUAUGAAAACCUACAUUCAAGUGGAUAUCUCUACUCCUAAUGUCUCAUUUGGUAGUCUCUGCUCACCAGUUAAAUUUCGUCCCACCACCACCGAUUUUUUUCGUCCUUCCUCCCGUCGAACCAAAAAAACGCCUAGCGAUGUCCCACGCAGUCGAAGGCAAACCUCCUGUCGCACCAGAGAAAAAGGCCAAAAAUAACCUACAAAAAAAUCUAUGAAAUUAAACCAGCAAAAAAAACUGCUAAACGAACCGCACGCACGUCCGAGUGACGCCUCCUGCUCCUCUCGAUCCCCUCGACCUACGAUCUGUGACUGCAGAUGCACGAGAUCGCCACUGCCGCGGACCUCGCAAGGAAGACACGGACGAGAUCCCAAUCCGCUGCUCCUCCUCUCCCGAGAUGCAGCCGCCGCCGCCGAACCAGGGAGACACCAGUGACCGUCACCGCCGUCGUGGAUCACCAGGACUCCGCCGCCUGCACCGCCACCGCCGUGCCUCAGAUACGUCACGGAUCACCGGGACGCGACUAUCGCAGAUCACUAGGACACCGCCGGCAGCGGCGCCUGAGAUACCAGCGACCGACGGCGGCGCCUCAAAUAUCGGCGACCGGCGGUGAUCUAAGAUCAACGAGUCGGCGCCACAUCCCUGGUACUUCCCUCCCCCAUCCGCCAACCCUCUACCCUCCCCCUCUACAAAGGCCAGUGCGGCCCUGUCCGUCCGACCUUUCCGGACGUGACCAAGGAUGGUUGUGCAUCCCGACGCCUCUCUUCUCCAUUGAUCCCCCAUCUCCUCAAGGUGAAUCUUCUCUAGAAGGUACCCCUCUCCUCUCCAACGAUCCACCAUCUCCUCUUCUGUUUUUAUCCCUCGAUUGGUAACCCAAGAACUUGAUGGCUCUGGACUGAGAUGUAGACUUCCCAGUGGAACUACCUGUGCGCAGGAGGAUCUGAUGAUGCCGAACGCAACCAUGGAGGACUAGGAGCACGGGGAGAGGAUGUGGGAGUGGGUGGUCUCCGUGGUUAGCUACUUCGCUUUUAUUUUUGAUGGUCUGAGGUAGGAGAGCUAGAUGCACACCCUUAGCUCGACUUUUAUGAUUCAGUUCCGUCAGAGUAGCUUUUACAUGAGAAAUGCGCCGACAUAUUCAGCCAGAGUACUGGGCUUUGGACUGUGAACUUCUUCUAAGCUCACCUCGAACCCGUGAAAAAUAAAAUCAUGUCAGUGGAACUUUGUGUACUUUUUCCAUAGCAUUCAUUUAUAAUCAGUUAAUUUGGUCAGAAAACGAUUUUGCUGUGCGUACAACAGUUAGACAUAUUUUUUUUUUUACAAUCCUGAUUUAAGCCACACAUCUCACAGAGCUGAAGUGAUCCAGCAAUUGACAGAUGCAUAUCAUCCAGAUCCAGGGGUACGUAUAGCAUCUGCAAUCUCAUCUGGGAGUGUCGUACGUAUAGCAUCCAGGAUGGCUAUUUAAAACUUUGAUAGCAUUACUCGUCAGAAAAAUGUCAUCCAAAAGUUGAAGUUUAGCUUGACCCAUCUAAUACUAAUAUGGGAGAUGGACAGGACAUUCUAGGUAUAGUUCGUAGUUCAUAUGAGUGGUGAUUCACUUGAUCCUUGCUCUUUGUGAGACCUGUUUUGAUGUAUCCAAUUCCAUGAUCUUCAGAUCAUCAAAUUGUUGAGGAGGAAGAAGGCAUUGUGCUUGGAGGCGGGACUGACAGUGACUAUCAAGAGAUACCUAUAUGGUUAACCUGUUGAGACCAAUGUCCAAGAUUCAGUGUGGUAAUCUGCAGCAAUCAAGUUAACAAAUCUGAAGCAUUUUAGCAACGCAACGGUGCAAGUGCUCUUUUGGUGGAAGAUGAAGCUUUUGUUGGACUUGUGAUGUUUUUUCUGAAGAAGACUGACAAUGAACUCAAAAGAUAGAUGUCAUGCGGUAUUUGUGAUAUAGAACUAAAUGAUCCAGGACUAUAGUAGCUCCUGAAAGGAUGGCAUUCUUCAUAUUGUGAUGCAACGUCAUGAUACUAGGUUGUUCCUAUUUGUUCGGAUGCAAGUUCUAUAAUAGUAGGUUGCUACUACGGGAUUACCUAAUGUUGCUUCAUGUCUGUUAUAUCUUCCAAUAUUUACAGAAACUUCCGAAACUAACACCAGUUAUUGGUGGUUUACACCGGAUAGUUUCUAGACCUUUAUCGCAAGAUGGACGAACUUGGCAUCUGAGCCAGUAAUCUACCUCAUCAAUAGUGUGAUGUCCCUUUGCAUGAAGUUAGGCCAACAUCAGAAGGUCCGUAGCCUUUUUGAGGAGAUGAAGGUGAAGAAUAUUAAGCCAGAUAACCUCACAUGUUGCCUUCUAAUGACUAGCCAUGUGGCAUUGAACAAGAUAGAUGUUGUUGGAGAAGUUUUAGAAGAAAUGCAAGAGAAGGAUGUAGUCUAGGGUGGUCUGCAUAUAGCAUGGUUUCUAUCUACCCGAGUGUUGGUUUGGUUUUAAAAAACAGUCCGCUCCGAAGAAACUCAAGGGCCUUGCUUUUAGAAGGUAACAUAAAUAUCUAGAUUGAUUGUUCAUGGUCCUGGGGCUGUUUGUUAUAGUUCAGGCAAGAGUUUAGUCCAUAAUACUCAAUUUCAUCCUGCUUGCAUCACCACCACCGUGUAAUAUAACAUAGUACUAUGCACAACGAUGCAUCAGCACUAAGCUCAACAUCUAAAUAACUUGAAAUGUUGGCUCGAGUAUUUUUACUUCAUAAAAAUGAUUUUAUUUUUCCUGAUGCAUUGCUAUUUAGGCUUCAUUAUUCUGCAAUUUCUGUCAAAGUAAUAAACAUGACAUGUAUAAUUUGGUAAUGAACCGCAAAAUAUAUAGAUGUCCCUUGUUUUGUUAUUUAGGCUUCAUUAUUCUAAAAAAUAUAUUUAUUACUUUGGUUACUCAGAUUACCACAAAAUAUAUAAGUUAUUUAGGCUUAUAUUUUGUUAUUGUUCUACAAAAUAUAUAAGUUGUUUAGGCAUAUACAAUAACUUAGCGCAGAAUAUAUUUUGUUAUUUAGGCUUCAUUAUUCUACAAUUUCUGGCAAAUCAAU